AUUUAAAAGCAAAAAACAAAAAAAAAACGAAGUCCUUCCCUUGUAUAAAAAUCGUUAUGUUCUCCGCGGUAGAAACCUUUUCUCUCCGGUGAUUUUAAAAUCCAGAUUAAUCCUGAAUUUGCGAGGACUGUGGUUGUCUUGAUAGAGCCUCACCGCAGAAUUCCUUAUUUUGCCUGCGCUGUAGUGUAGAAGUUCUCCUUUCACCUUCUCUGCAUUCACAGUGUUUUGAUGAUAGGCGAAUUUCCAUGUUUAAUUAUGUGUCGUCAGGAAGAGUUGGUUCUGGACAUGAAUCUGUUUACAGAUCAGAUAAUGAGAUUAAGCAGGUGGGGAUCAAUGUAUAGCGGCUGAAAGCAGCAAAAGUUUUUGGCAAGCAAUGUGACCACGAAAAAUACAUCCAGGCGAUCUCAAUGGAGAAUCACGAAUUUUAUCUUGGAAUUUCUGGAUUUCGAAUUCAUGACAGUGCCUCCAAAGCUAGCAAGUUGCUUUGCAGCCUAUCCCAGGUGACAUGCAAAAAAUGGAUAAUGGGCAGGGCAUUGGACUUGCUCUUAAUUCACCGAAUUUUGAACUGCUUACUUGUGUAUCUUUAAUAGCUCAAAUGAUUUUUUUUCAUGAAGAAUGUGAAUAACAUUGGCAAGUGAAGGAGACCUGGGUUGCAUAAGAUUGAGGUGAGGCAGGGCAUAGUGGGUUCGUUAGUAGGUGAAAAGAUGAGCUCCAAGUGAGAGUUGGGCCCAGACUGAUUGUCGAUUCUGAAACCUGUGUCAGGCCAGCUUGCCUGUUAAUAACGUUCAUGUCAACUUUUAAAACCAAUAUUUGUGUGGGCCGUCCAAAUCUCUAUGUCCUCUUCUGCCAAUCUUGGUCGGGGAGCUUCGGUAGGGUUUCCCAUGACAAACUUGUCCAGCCCUCAUCAUAAACACCAUUUUUUUUUUUUUUUCAAUUUCUUUGGAAUUUCAAAGUGAAAUUUCUCAUUUCUUUUCUUUUCAUUCCGUUCCAAAUUUAAUAAAUUCUGCAGCAUGUUGCUUCUUUAUAUCAAGUUUCGUAGUCUAUCUUCAUUUUAUAUAUGUUUUAUUGCAAGUCUAUUUCAUAUUA